GCAGAAUGGAGAAAAACCUGCUCAUCUGGAAUUUAAAAACCGAAAUAAUGCGCAGGUUGGGCAGCAGUUGUGAUCAAAGAAACAGAAUUCAGAGUUUCGGGGUGGAGACUCUUCGUCAGAAUCGGAAGAGAGAGAAAAAAAAGGAAAAGGAAGUGUUAUGGUGACAAGAAACUGCAGGUGCUGGACUCUGGAGCAGUAAACAAACCGCUUAAGGAACUCAGCAGGUCAGACGGCAUCUGUGGAGGGAAAUGGACAGUUGAUGUUUCGGGUGGAGAUCCUUCAUCUGGACUGGAUAUAGAACAUCAGGACAGCCUAUGAUUGAUAUUUAAUGUGCUAAUAUCAGUUGUGUCCCAGUGGCAGAAUCCUCAAAUGAUUGUGAGUUUAUAAUCUCCAAAGGUUUGAGCAUAAAAAUUGUAAUAAACUCUGUUAUAGUAAUAUGGA